GGCCAACAACCAGGCAACACCCAUGACGAGGUCCCAGGAGGCAAAACUCAAAAGCCUUCCAGCAGGCAAGAGAAAAUAGCGGACCCAAGGUCAUCGCAUAACCCAAAAGGCUAGCAGAUGACGCACCACGACAGGAACCAAGGUGCCCCAUUGAAAUUGAGUGAGGGUGAGAGCAGCCAAACGCAUUUGGGUCACCAGUGUUGGAGAAUGUUGUGGUCCCUCUCUUUCUCUUUGCUUUUCGAAUUUCUCUCUUUGAUUUCAGUUGCUGCCAUGAUUUCCUGGGAUUGUCUAGAGUACUGUGGCUGAUAUUUCUCUUUGCUUAUGAACUUAUGAGACCGUUUGGCUGAUAUUUCUUUUUGCUUAUGAACUUAUGAGACACUUUACCUCCAUUGUGCUUGUUCUGAUCUAUAUUAUACUGGUGAAUUUCUUAUUUCAG